rnacentral:rRNA from 1 species
UUGUUGACGUUAAAAGCUCGUAGUCGAACUUCGGCCUUUGCUGGUCGGUCCGCCUUUUGGUGUGUACUGAUCUAGCGAAGGCUUACCUCUUGGUGAACUGCGAUGCCCUUUAUUGGGUGUUGUAGGGAACCAAGACUUUUACUUUGAAAAAAUUAGAGUGUUCAAAGCAGGCCUACGCCCGAAUACAUUAGCAUGGAAUAAUAGAAUAGGACGCGCACUCCUAUUUUGUUGGUUUCUAGGAGCGCCGUAAUGAUUAAUAGGGAUAGUUGGGGGCAUUUGUAUUACAGCGUCAGAGGUGAAAUUCUUGGAUUGCUGUAAGACAAACUACUGCGAAAGCAUUUGCCAAGGAUGUUUUCAUUGAUCAAGAACGAAGGUUAGGGGAUCAAAAACGAUCAGAUACCGUUGUAGUCUUAACAGUAAACUAUGCCGACUGGGGAUCGGACAAGGCUUUAUCAUGACUUGUUCGG